GAAAGGACUUGCUCCCGGAUGUUAGCGGCGGACGGGUGAGUAACACGUGGGUAACCUGCCUGUAAGACUGGGAUAACUCCGGGAAACCGGAGCUAAUACCGGAUAGUUCCUUGAACCGCAUGGUUCAAGGAUGAAAGACGGUUUCGGCUGUCACUUACAGAUGGACCCGCGGCGCAUUAGCUAGUUGGUGGGGUAAUGGCUCACCAAGGCGACGAUGCGUAGCCGACCUGAGAGGGUGAUCGGCCACACUGGGACUGAGACACGGCCCAGACUCCUACGGGAGGCAGCAGUAGGGAAUCUUCCGCAAUGGACGAAAGUCUGACGGAGCAACGCCGCGUGAGUGAUGAAGGUUUUCGGAUCGUAAAGCUCUGUUGUUAGGGAAGAACAAGUGCGAGAGUAACUGCUCGCACCUUGACGGUACCUAACCAGAAAGCCACGGCUAACUACGUGCCAGCAGCCGCGGUAAUACGUAGGUGGCAAGCGUUGUCCGGAAUUAUUGGGCGUAAAGGGCUCGCAGGCGGUUUCUUAAGUCUGAUGUGAAAGCCCCCGGCUCAACCGGGGAGGGUCAUUGGAAACUGGGAAACUUGAGUGCAGAAGAGGAGAGUGGAAUUCCACGUGUAGCGGUGAAAUGCGUAGAGAUGUGGAGGAACACCAGUGGCGAAGGCGACUCUCUGGUCUGUAACUGACGCUGAGGAGCGAAAGCGUGGGGAGCGAACAGGAUUAGAUACCCUGGUAGUCCACGCCGUAAACGAUGAGUGCUAAGUGUUUAGGGGGUUUCCGCCCCUUAGUGCUGCAGCUAACGCAUUAAGCACUCCGCCUGGGGAGUACGGUCGCAGGACUGAAACUCAAAGGAAUUGACGGGGGCCCGCACAAGCGGUGGAGCAUGUGGUUUAAUUCGAAGCAACGCGAAGAACCUUACCAGGUCUUGACAUCCUCUGACAACCCUAGAGAUAGGGCUUUCCCUUCGGGGACAGAAU
rnacentral:rRNA from 1 species